CGAGACUGCGCACGAGGGGCAUAAGCCAGGCAUCAUGGAAAAUACAUGAUGCCAGGGAGAAAACAGAGGCAAAGAAGGAACAGUGAGAAGGUACUAGAGAUGAGUAAACAGGCUUGGAGUCUAUUUUAAAGGCAGUCCAACUUACGCGCUCUUCAUGGGCAAAUCAAUAAAGAUGGCGGAAAUAGCAGUGGUGCCACAUGCUCUCACAAUUCUCCAUAACCAUUGUAUUCCUCCCUAUACCUGUGACCUGUCGCGCUACUGCUUGCCCUUUGACAUUUGGUUUCACCUUCGGAAAGCGGCCAUGGAUCUCUCAGGUUGAACCGAGGCAAGGUCUACAGGUUGGAAUAUAGAAAGGAUUCACGACGUGGCACCCGUAUUCCAGCCCUGCGCAUGAGCUCAUCAGAAGGAAUCGCCAUGCCAUUCCAACUUGUGGAUAGCUUAGUGGUCUGUGAACAGUGAUGGGGAGUGGAGUACUGGUGGUUCACGCAGUCGCCUCACUCACGACUCUUGGCUGACUCAGUGGAAGGCAUUAUUUAUUAAAGACCCAAAAAGACGCGCUCGCUGGUGGACACACGAGGACGCGCGUGGGAUGUAGUAGUGCCGAGGUGCAGGUGUUUAUAUCCUUUUGUAUGUAAUCAGAGGGAAAGUGCACAAGUAUUCGUCCAAACAGUUAUUAAAAAGGGUGAAAGAGAGAGAAAGGUAAAAAAAAAACUUUGCGGAGGAGGGUCGCGCGUCAUUAUCAUCUCACUAGUGACUGUUGCCCAGGGAAGAAGACGCCUGCAGGAGGUUGGAUUUCUCGUCCUCGUCCUUCUAAGUCUCAGGUAACAGCUUGCAGAACCACCGGAGUCUGUCAACUCUGACCCAACGCUUUCCUCUACCGUCACUCAGCAAGUAAGGAAAAUGUAACUCCUUUUGCUCAGAAAUUUCGCUGGAAUGAAGAGAAAACAGAGGAUGAUUAAUGCUGGGUAGAUAGACGGGUAAGGAAUAGUAAGGAGAGAAACAGACGAAUGGUAAGAAGAGAAACAGAUGAAGAUAGUUGGGUAGAUAGACGAGUAGGAAUAGUAAAGAGAGAAAUAGACGAGUAGUAG